UGGAGUCUUCUGUCGCCUCGUCAUCAACUUGCUUCUCCACCGCAGUCCACAGCGCCUGUUGCCACUUCUAAUCACACCCAGCCCCACUCACCACAGCUGCUUUCUUCUCUCCCGGCUUGUGUGGCUUUCAUCGUGCCUGUCUUACCGGAUGCUCGUGGGGUUGACCUUUGUGGUCUGAACCAAUUAGUGGGUGCUUCUCCUUCAGCCCAGCAAGCCACGGAUCUCAGCACCGUGUGGUCCCUGGACAGGGGCUCUGCCUCUCAGUGCUGGUGAGCUGGCCCUCAGCCGCGGUGCUCUCCCGUCCAUCGGUUCUAGUUUUGUUUUCUCGAAGGCUUUUUGAGUCCGGGGGGAUUCCAGAAGCCUGAGGGAUCAGGAAAACGGGGGCCUGUCUACAGGACUUGUAGAGUGUCUUUAGUGCAUGGUGACUGGCUUCCCCGAGUGCAAUGCAUCCAAGGACCAAGGCAGAAGUUGCAAUACCUUUUACCACUUAGCCCCAGGAGUCGCACAUCACCACCUCCACUGUAUUCUGUUGGUCGUACAGACAUUGCUGAUCUCCAUGUGAUGUUUUUGUAACAAGCCUGUACCUUAAAACGAGACUAGGUGAGGGCUGCAGUCAGAGGUGGUGGGCAGCCAGAAAGGCAUUUGCAACUGAUUCGAAGGUGAAUACUUGCAGCCAGCCCAUUUCCAGGAUUCCACGUUAGGUCUACACCCCACCUGUCACUUCCCUGGAAAAACCCUCUGAACACAGAAACUCAGCUCCACCCUUCUUUGACUUCAGAUCCAUAGGAGAGAUAUAGAGUGGUU